UUUCUUAUUACUUUUUCAUUUCCAGUAAAAACAUUCUAAAAUCUUGUACUAAUAUCACAAAUUGAUAAUACAAAUUAUUUCUAAUUUGAUAUAGCCUUAUUGGGGGUGACUGGUGACCAAGAAAAUGAGGAGAAGAACACAACAUUCCUUAACCUUCCUUAUAAAAAUUACUAUUUAUGAGGUAUAGAUGUUCCUCUUCGUUCCUUUUCAUUCUUUUUUUUUUGUAAAGAAUUAUAAUAUAAAAUUGUUCCUUGUUAAUUUUGAUAAAAAACCAUAAUUUCUCAUCAUUCCCAAAAUUUUAUUCCUAUUCAUUAUUUUCUUAUUCAUUCUUAAUGUUCUUGCGAUAGUUACCAGUCACACUCAUUAUUUUAAUUUCCAUUGAAAAAUAGUGAUUUAGUUUUGUUCUUACUUCGUGUCUUUAAUAUUUUUUGUUAAAGUUCAUACACUAUAUUACAAAUAAUGUUGUACUUAAUAAC
rnacentral:lncRNA from 1 species